rnacentral:rRNA from 1 species
AGGUUGACCUCGGAUCAGGUAGGGAUACCCGCUGAACUUAAGCAUAUCAAUAAGCGGAGGAAAAGAAACCAACAGGGAUUGCUCUAGUAACGGCGAGUGAAGCAGCAAUAGCUCAAAUUUGAAAUCUGGCGUCUUCGACGUCCGAGUUGUAAUUUGUAGAGGAUGCUUCUGAGUAACCACCGACCUAAGUUCCUUGGAACAGGACGUCAUAGAGGGUGAGAAUCCCGUAUGCGGUCGGAAAGGUGCUCUACACGUAGCUCCUUCGACGAGUCGAGUUGUUUGGGAAUGCAGCUCUAAAUGGGAGGUAAAUUUCUUCUAAAGCUAAAUAUUGGCCAGAGACCGAUAGCGCACAAGUAGAGUGAUCGAAAGAUGAAAAGCACUUUGGAAAGAGAGUUAAAAAGCACGUGAAAUUGUUAAAAGGGAAGGGAUUGCAACCAGACUUGCUCGCGGUGUUCCGCCGGUCUUCUGACCGGUCUACUCGCCGCGUUGCAGGCCAGCAUCGUCUGGUGCCGCUGGAUAAGACUUGAGGAAUGUAGCUCCCUCGGGAGUGUUAUAGCCUCUUGUGAUGCAGCGAGCGCCGGGCGAGGUCCGCGCUUCGGCUAGGAUGCUGGCGUAAUGGUCGUAAUCCGCCCGUCUUGAAACACGGACCAAGGAGUCUAACAUCUAUGCGAGUGUUCGGGUGUCAAACCCCUACGCGUAAUGAAAGUGAACGGAGGUGAGAACCGCAAGGUGCAUCAUCGACCGACCCUGAUGUCUUCGGAUGGAUUUGAGUAAGAGCAUAGCUGUUGGGACCCGAAAGAUGGUGAACUAUGCCUGAAUAGGGUGAAGCCAGAGGAAACUCUGGUGGAGGCUCGCAGCGGUUCUGACGUGCAAAUCGAUCGUCAAAUUUGGGUAUAG